UACGGAGGGGGGCUAGCGUUGUUCGGAAUUACUGGGCGUAAAGCGCACGUAGGCGGCUUUGUAAGUUAGAGGUGAAAAGCCCGGGGGCUCAACUCCGGAAUUGCCUUUAAGACUGCAUCGCUAGAAUUGUGGAGAGGUAAGUGGAAUUCCGAGUGUAGAGGUGAAAAUUCGUAGAUAUUCGGAAGAACACCAGUGGCGAAGGCGACUUACUGGACACAUAUUGACGCUGAGGUGCGAAAGCGUGGGGAGCAAACAGG
rnacentral:rRNA from 1 species